GGGCGCCGGGCGCGGGCCAGGGAGCCGGCGCGCGGUGGGCACUUCGCAGGGCGCUUGCCGGCUGGGUCCGCGGUCCCCGGGCGAGCUCCCCCAGCCCCCGCGUGCAGAGGUGCCGAGGGCCGUGCGUACACCUACUGUGCGCCGGCUGGUGUGGAGCGUGCCGAGCCCGACCCCCAGGACCUCCCGCCCUCCCGAGGGAGAGGACACUACACUGGUGACGAGGACCUUGAGCGUCGCUGUGAGAUUUGCGCUUGUCACGGGCAGUGAACUUGCAGUUCAUGUGUCACCCACCAGAAAACCACCAGCUCCCGAGGACCCGGACUCGCUUUGUUCAAAAACAGCCGAAUCCCCGUGGCUGGGUCAGCAUAGGGCACCGAGUAGAAGCUCAGUAAAACGCUUGCUGACUGAAUUACGGCGCAGCCCAAUGCUUUCAUUCAAAUCUUUUUUCCAUUUAAAAAUUGGAUUGUCUUUUUAUUGUUGAAUUUUGCCUAUUGAAUGGACAUUUGCAUUGUUUCCUGUCUUUGGAUGUUGUGAACAUUCUAUGUAAUGUCACGGUUGCAUGUGAAGGUAGAUCAAGAGGCCACACUCGAAGUGGGGUCGCUGGAAUAAACGUUAACUGCCUUUGUCAUUUGGGAAGAUAACAGACAAACCACCAUGAGGGUCUCCCUGGCUGCCUGCAGGGAAUGGAUUCAGGGACUGUGCAGAGGAAGGACAGUAGGAGGAGGUGACUGCGAUAGCCCAGGAAGGAGCGGAUGGAGGGUCAGACGAGGGUGAUCAUGGACGUGGGAGAAAUGGUUGAUUCUGGAUGUGUUUUGAAGGAAGGGACCAAUGAUGUGGAGAAAUGAAGCAGGCUGCAGAGAUGGGUGGAGAAUGUCAGGGAGUGCUUCACCAGAUGGGAAGGAGAAGGUGUCAGAAAGGCCUCUCUAAGGAUGUGGCACUUGAGUGGAGACUUAAAGGAAGUGAAGGGGCUGCCAUGAAGAUACCCAGAAGAGAGGAAGUGCAGAGGCCCUGAGGCAGGAGAAUGCCUGGUGUGCUCAGAGGACAGCAAGGAGGCUUAUGGAGCUGGAGCAGAGGCAAAUAUUUAUUGAGCAUGUAUUAUGAAGCAGGACCUGCUCUAGGUCCUAGGAACGUAACAGGAAUGAAAGGAGACAAAGACAAAUAUCUCUGCCUCCUGGAGCUGAUACCUGGGGAAGUGAUGGGGCAGAUGAGCAAUGAUCACUAAGUACCAAACUAUGCUGACAUGCCAGGAGGUGAUGGCUGCUUUGGGAAACAAACAAACAAACCACACACACAAAGCAGGGUAAGGAGGAUUGGAAGCUGGGAGGAUGGAGGGCAGGUUGAGUUGUUAACCAGGGUAGCCAGGGAAUGCCUCACUGGGAAGGUGAUAGGCUAAAGGUAGGUGAGCAGACCAAAAGAGGGGAUGGAGGGAGCCAUGUGGGACUGUAGGGGAAUAGUGUUCCAGACAGAGCAAAAAGCCAGUGCAAAAGCCCUGAGGUGGGAAGGAGCCUUAUUGGCUUUUAAUGACUGAAUGUGGAGACUGUUAAGAAAAAGUGGGCUUGGGGCCUACGGGACCUUAAAAGGUUCAGGUCGUUCCCUGAUUGUGAAAAAAGUCUUGGAGGCACAGGAGGGAGGCACUGUGAUGUCAGGAUGCCAGGUAUCCCUGCCCGCUACCCCUGGAGGCUCUGUGUGCCCACCUGGGCUGCUUGCUCCCUAAGUCAUUCCGUGAGACCCCCUCCUUCCCAUCUCCCCUGUUCCCAGCAGGGCCUUUUACCCGGAAGGAAGUGGCCCAGGCUGUGCUCUGGCCCUGCUGCAGGCCAUCUGCCAACACCCUGAACGCCUACCUCUUGACCCUGCUACCACCACAGGGUGUGGCUAUGGACAGGAAAUCCUCCUUCUGUGGAGGGUCAUGGCCAGACUAGACUGCCCAGAUGGUGCGUGCCUGGGCUAUGGCACAGCCAACCUCAGUCUAAGCCUUCGUCUUCUCUACAUGUUAAAGUGUUUUAUUGUGUGUAUGAGUCAUGGGGAUGUAGCCAUUUGUUUCUGUUGCCCACACCCAUUCCCCCUCCUUCAUGGAAACAAUGCCCUGACUUUUUUGGAGGAAUCUCUGUGGCCUGCUUUCUCAGCCUAUAGUUUGUAUGGAGCAGACUCCACCUCUUUAACAUAAGCCAAGCAACAUUGUCCAGAUAUCUGGGACAUGGUGUUUGGUUCAGAGAUGGGUGUGUGACUUUAGAUGGCCCAGUCGGAGUGAAUUUCAGGAUCCUGGCAUGGAAUUGAGACAUAGAUACUUUUUCCCCAUUGGACAUAAAUGAGAAAGCAAGUCUCAUCAGAAUCUGCUGGCAGCCACAAGGGGGUCAUCUUUAGAGUCUCCUGGAAAAGGCAAGGAGGAAAGACCAAGAGAAACCAGCUCCUUGGUGAGAUCUUUGUUUGGCUGGAUCAAGCCUUACCUGAAAGUAGUGCUCCCUUUCUAGUCAGACUUAGGUUUAAGUCUCAGCCUCACCACUUGUGUGUCGUGUGACCAGGGGCAAAUAAUUUAUUGUCUCAGGAUGUCAGUUUCCUAAUGUGGAAAAUGGGGAUAAUCAACGUAUGCCUACCUCAUGGGGUUGUUGUGAAGAUAAGCUAAUAAAUAUAUUGUGGUUAGAAGAGUGCCUGGCACAUUGGAAGCACUCAAUAAAUUUUAGCGAUUAUUAUUAUUAGCAUUAAACACCUAGAGCAAACCUUACCUGAUCUGUGUGUGAUCUUCUUCUGGACUUUGCAGUUAUAGGAAACCAGUACAUCCUCUUUUUUUUUUUUCUUUUUUCUUUUAUUAUUAUUAUUAUUAUUAUUAUUUUUUGUCUUCUUUCUUAUAGAGUGUAAGGAUCAAGAUCAGGGUGGGACUGGGGAGAAAGGUGUGGGGACUGGUGUUUGAAGGUGGCUGUUUCUGUGUGCUGGAUAUUUUACUUACACUUGCUCUUUGGCCUCAUUUUAUGGGGAAAAAAAAACGAGGCUUAGAAAAAUUAACUUAACAAAGAUGAGUAAGACUUAAUUAGGGAGAAAAGGUGAGGAAGGAUAUGUUGGGCAGUAGGUGUGACAAAUCAAGGGCCAUGUGGUGUAAAAGUACUUGGUGUACUAUUCAGGGGACAAGAGGAAUUUGGAGUCCAAUAAGAUUAAGACCAUGUUUUUUUUUAUUUAUUCAUUUUUAAAGAUUUUAUUUAUUUAUUCAUGAGAGACACAGAGAGAGGCAGAGACACAGGCAGAGGGAGAAGGAGGCUCCCU